CGGUAAAACCAGCUCUUCAGUGGUCGGGAUAAUUAUUGGGCUUAAAGUGUCCGUAGCCGGUUUAGUAAGUUCCUGGUAAAACCGGGCAGCUUAACUGUCCGUAUGCUAGGAAUACUGCUAUGCUAGAGGGCGGGAGAGGUCUGAGGUACUACAGGGGUAGGGGUGAAAUCUUAUAAUCCUUGUAGGACCACCAGUGGCGAAAGCGUCAGACUGGAACGCGCCUGACGGUGAGGGACGAAAGCCAGGGGAGCGAACCGGAUUAGAUACCCGGGUAGUCCUGGCCGUAAACGAUGCAUACUAGGCAAUGGUGCGGCCAUGAGCCGCAUCAGUACCGUAGGGAAACCGUUAAGUGUGCCGCCUGGGAAGUACGGUCGCAAGGCUAAAACUUAAAGGAAUUGGCGGGGGAGCACCACAAGGGGUGAAGCCUGCGGUUCAAUUGGACUCAACGCCGGGAAACUUACCAGGGGAGACAGCAGAAUGACAGUCAGGUUGACGACCUUACUCGACGAGCUGAGAGGAGGUGCAUGGCCGUCGCCAGUUCGUGCUGUGAGGUAUCCUGUUAAGUCAGGCAACGAACGAGAUCCGCGCCUUUAUUUGCCAUCAAGAAGUCACGACUUCGUUGGGAACACUAAAGGGACCGCCGUCGAUAAGACGGAGGAAGGAGCGGGCAAAGGCAGGUCAGUAUGCCCCGAAACCCCUGGGCUACACGCGGGCUGCAAUGGUGCGAACAAUGGGCUGUAACUCCGAAAGGAGAAACCAAUCCCGAAAUCGCAUCUCAGUGGGGAUUGUCGACUGUAACUCGUUGACAUGAACGUGGAAUCCCUAGUAAUCGCGUGUCACCAUCGCGCGGUGAAUACGUCUCUGCUCCUUGCA
rnacentral:rRNA from 1 species